AAUUGUAAAAAAUACAAAUUCAUUAUUUUAUGAUUAUUAUAUAUUUUGGAUAUAUAUAUAUAUAUAUAUAUAUAUAUAUACAUACAUAUUUGUGUGUUUGGAAAUCGAAAGAAUUUCCUAAACGUAUUUUCUUCAUAUAAAAAGUCAUCUUCUUUGUUGCGCAAAAUAGCCAGAUUGCGCCUACGAGUGUAGCUAAACAUAGGCCAAUUGCAUCAACCAUUAUUGUGCUCUUGUUUUUCUGUGACCUGGUUUAAAGCACAUCACAAAUUAGAGACUGAUAUUGCUCAAAUAGAGAUGAGACAAACUCGCCAGAAUACCGAAAAGUCACCUCAGAUUCCUCUCUAUUAGAGACUUGAGACUGCUCGCAGAAAACCGGCAUAAACCUAAUAUCUGUUUUCGUUCCAUGAGCAAACUGUUGUGAAAUAAAUUUAAAUUAAAAAAAAUUAUGCUGUUUGCAAAAAAAUACUUGAGUGUCUUAACUUAACCGCUGAUGUAGAAGAUCCCGAUGAUUUCGUUGCUGAAUUUAGAAUGUGGAAAAGGAACUGGUUAAAUCAAACAAAGAGAUCCAAAACUUUUUUAGACGCGUUGAAUUGUUGCGAUGCAAAAAUUUUCAAAACAGUGCAUCGUUUUUUAAAGAUUGGAGCAAUAAUCCCUAUAUCUGUCGCUUCAAGUGAACGCUCGUUUUCCUCACUUCGCAGGCUUAAAACAUAUUUAAGAAAUAAAACUGGAGAAGCACGCCUGAACGGAAUGGCUCUCUUGAAUAUCCAUAGAGAUAUAGACGUGACGGAGGAAGAUAUUUUAAAUGUUAUGGCCCAAAUUAAAAGAAGAUUAGACUUCAAUUUCUGAAUAAACUAAUGAAACAUUGUCUUUUUACCUAAAACUUCCCCCAAAUUUUUUUCCUGCGUUCGCCACUGGUUCGAUGUAGCAGCGUUUGCAUCCAUAGUUCUGGAUUUGCUUGCAGCACAUAUUCCUAUCCCUUCGAGAGUUCUUCGCUGCUACCAUAAGUGACAAGGAUGCGUACCUUUAAUGCGCCGUAUGAGAUUUGAAAUAUCUGUAUUGAAAAUUAAUUAGAAUUUAAGGCAAGACAAUAUUAUUAUAUUCAAUAAUUAUUUACGUUUCGCCCUUGAUGUUGACCAAAGAUCUAUGAUCUUUGUUGGCGAAGCUUCUAUUGCGUGCUUCGAAUUGACAGUGAGAUGAAGUAUGUAUUACUGUAUCUUCCUCUUCAAUUCCAUCUUGUGGCUUUAGAAAACAUAUAUUUUCGUUUUACUUAUUUAAAAAUGCGUGGUUCAAUAAUUUAAACUUUAAUUAGUCUGAUUUAAAACUGAUUUAAAUGAAACACGCAAAAUAAUACUUCACAAGCAGCCAUGAUAAAUGUAGCUCAAAACAAAACUUGUUCAAUCAAACACACGAGAACUUUUGUUGUUUCUUUCUCUCAUUCGGAGUGCUGUACGAGAGAAGAGUUAGUUAAAUGUUUAUGCACAUUUUACCCCUUGUUGUAUGUGUGUAUGUAGUGGUGUUAUUGAAAUUUCUUUGAAUGUGUUGGAGUUUCAGUACCCACGACUUGCUGGGUUUUUAGUAUAGUAUAUCACCAUUUGUAGCCCUUGAGGGUUGGUCAGAGUUAGCUUCCCCAUUGCAACUCAGGAUGCUGCUUGCAAAAAGUUAUAUAAUGUUGCAGCUGCUCCUGAGUUGUUCUUUCAACAUUUGUACGUCUAAAAGUAAAUGAAAUACAUUUACAUUAAAAUUAUUGAAUUUGAAAAAUUACUUUUAAUAAUAAUUAAAUUUCUUUUUUUUUUUAAACAGCUGUUUGACAGCAAAAUGCUUUUCAAAUCACGUGGUGACUUUUUUAAACUUUUUUCUUAUGAAGUUCGAAUCAGAAUAGCUUCACAAAAUAUGCCUCACAAGAAUUCCCUCAAAAUUUUCUUCUCACCUCUGUUAUGAGGUUUUUU